rnacentral:rRNA from 1 species
UACGGAGGGUGCGAGCGUUGUCCGGAAUCACUGGGCGUAAAGGGCGCGUAGGCGGCUCAUGAAGGCUGUGGUGAAAGUCCGGGGCUCAACCUCGGAUCGGCCGUGGCGACUCGUGGGCUGGAGCACUGUAGAGGCGGGGUGGAAUUCCGGGUGUAGCGGUGGAAUGCGUAGAUAUCUGGAGGAACACCGGUGGCGAAGGCGGCAUCCUGGACCGGCAUUGACGCUGAGGCGCGAAAGCCAGGGGGAGCAAACGGGG